rnacentral:rRNA from 1 species
AGAGUUUGAUCCUGGCUCAGGAUGAACGCUGGCGGCGUGCCUAAUACAUGCAAGUCGAGCGAACGGACGAGAAGCUUGCUUCUCUGAUGUUAGCGGCGGACGGGUGAGUAACACGUGGAUAACCUACCUAUAAGACUGGGAUAACUUCGGGAAACCGGAGCUAAUACCGGAUAAUAUUUUGAACCGCAUGGUUCAAAAGUGAAAGACGGUCUUGCUGUCACUUAUAGAUGGAUCCGCGCUGCAUUAGCUAGUUGGUAAGGUAACGGCUUACCAAGGCAACGAUGCAUAGCCGACCUGAGAGGGUGAUCGGCCACACUGGAACUGAGACACGGUCCAGACUCCUACGGGAGGCAGCAGUAGGGAAUCUUCCGCAAUGGGCGAAAGCCUGACGGAGCAACGCCGCGUGAGUGAUGAAGGUCUUCGGAUCGUAAAACUCUGUUAUUAGGGAAGAACAUAUGUGUAAGUAACUGUGCACAUCUUGACGGUACCUAAUCAGAAAGCCACGGCUAACUACGUGCCAGCAGCCGCGGUAAUACGUAGGUGGCAAGCGUUAUCCGGAAUUAUUGGGCGUAAAGCGCGCGUAGGCGGUUUUUUAAGUCUGAUGUGAAAGCCCACGGCUCAACCGUGGAGGGUCAUUGGAAACUGGAAAACUUGAGUGCAGAAGAGGAAAGUGGAAUUCCAUGUGUAGCGGUGAAAUGCGCAGAGAUAUGGAGGAACACCAGUGGCGAAGGCGACUUUCUGGUCUGUAACUGACGCUGAUGUGCGAAAGCGUGGGGAUCAAACAGGAUUAGAUACCCUGGUAGUCCACGCCGUAAACGAUGAGUGCUAAGUGU